CAAACAAUGGGACUUUUUAUCCCUGUAUUAAUGAAGCAAAUAUUAAAGUCACACAGUGGAGUGCGGGUCACCGGUCACCUCAUUGCCACACACGCCUUGUGAUUCCUGCAGAGGGAGGUUAGAACCACAAACUGCAGGGCAGGUGGAAGUGGUAGGGCCCAGGGUUGUCCCAGAACCUGGUCAGAAAAGGCCACAGGUACAAAGGAAUUUGUUACUGUUGACAACUUUGAAAAUAGAUAAUAGGGAAAUGAAGUAAAGUCCCCAAGUUUCACAACAAAAGCUAUUAUGGUCUUUAGGGGUAGGGCUUCCGGUGGCCAAACUUGUUUGCUGGUUACUAUAACAACCGCAAACCAUCAUCCUCUCACGCUGAAAUAGCUUUUAUCAGGAACUUUCAAGACCGUGAAAGAACAGAUCGCCCGACUGGCUUUAGCAUCUUCUCCCACUCUUCUGUUUUCAGCUGCAGUUGCGCACGUGUUCAGUUCCAGCAAACAGGAAGUAUCCACAUAACUGCCAAAAAGAGGGCGCCACUGCCACGCCCCCUGCCUUAUGUGAGGGCGCCAAUGCCACGCCCCCUGCCUGAAGGAAUGGGCCUUAGAUCCAAUCAGAAAGCAGUUGGUUACCCCCGUAGCAUUCAUGCCACCAUUGUGUUUGAAGGUCUGUCUUGCCAUGCUGAUCAUCACUGCACUUAAUAGAGUGCAAAUCUGGGUGACACUGCACAACUGGACAGCACUGUGACCUUCCUCCUUGGCAGCCUUCACAGCAUCUUCCAGUUCUAUGAAAAGCUGGCUAACAAGAAGGAAGCCGAUCAGGACAAAGCUGGUUUCUCCAUGACUGGCGACUGCCAUGUUAUAUGGUGUCUUCUUCAGCAGGGUCUAACUGCCAAGUUCUGAUGGGCAACUAAGAGGAAGGCUACCUGAUAAGGUCCUAAGACAACAGGCUUGGGAGGAGCUUGGUCCCUGAGCCCACAGAAGGGAUCAUAGAUCACAGGGCAGACAGAUCAAGAACUCAGAGUACAGAUUCCUCGGCCCACUUAUCUCUCUCUAUACAGAUACAUCUUUCAUACUCUGCCCCUACAGGGAGCCACACAUUCUCCUGCCUAAUCGAGACAAAGUUUCAAGCAAGAACAAAAGUUUGCAAGAAGGACAACGUUUCCCAUGGUCCAUCUUGAAAUCCAAACUCCCCCAUGGCCUGUAACCUCCCAUGAUGUUACCGUCCUUGUUCCUCUCAAUUCCACCACUGGGACCUUUUUCUGACCAUCUGCAUACUUGUGGAAUGCCGCACACACUUUCCUCUGCCUGGAUCUCUGACCCUUCACACCCCACAAGAGCCUCUGUUCAUACAUUCCGACAACAAAGGCUUCCUGAGAAAUACUGCUUGUUGAACUUGUGGGCCAGGCACAGCAGGGCACAACAGGAGGAGAAAGGCCUUGCCCUGAUGGAGCUUACCUUCCAGGGUAAGAAAUAACCAAAGACACCAGGAAAUAGUAUGCCUGUCUGUCGGGCAUAAAAGGGGCAAAUGGGCAAGGGGCAGUCACUCUAUGCAAAGAACUUCCCUGAGAUCGAUCCACCAUGACACAUGAAUUCAUCUGAAUUUGCAUUUCAUUCUAGUCUGUCUCCUCUGCUUGAAUGUUAAGGCCACAGAAGCAGGAACUGUCACAUUUUGGUGCACCCUGAACUAGUGCUGGAUAACUUUGUUGAAUAAAUAGUUCCAUGGAAGAGGGGGAAGCAAGGAAAGAAGUGGGAGUGGGGAGUCAUGGGAGGAAGAAGGAAAAGGAGGGAGGGAGGGAAGGAAGGAAGAAGAGACCUGCAGGAGACAGGCGUGUAAAGACCAAGGAGCUAAAGAGAAGAGCAAAGGAAUCAUGGAGCCAGGAGACAGUCAUGUGAUCGAGAAGAUGGUGUCAGAAGAAGAUGGUGACAGGAGAGAGGGGUGUCAGACAAAGAUGGUGGCAGAAGAGGGGGGUGUCAGAAGAAGAUGGUGACAGGAGAGGGGUGUGUCAGAAGAGAGGGGUGCCAAAAGAGAGGGAUGUCAGAAGAAGAUGGUGACAGAAGAAGAUGGUGUCAGAAGAAGAUGGUGACAGAGGAGGAUGGUGUCAACAGAUGGUGGCAGAAGAAGAUGGUGUCAGAAGAAGAUGGUGACAGGAGAGAGGUGUCAGAAGAAGAUGGUGACAGGAGAGAGGUGUCAGAAGAAGAUGGUGACAAGAGAGAGGUGUCAGAAGAGAGGGGUGUCAGAAGAAGAUGGUGACAGACAAAGAUGGUGACAGAAGAGGACGGUGUCAGAAGAGAGAGGUAGCAAAAGAGAGGGAUGUCAGAAGAAGAUGGUGACAGGAGAGAGAGGUAUCAGAAGAGGGGGAUGUCAGAAGAGAGGGGUGUCAGAAGAAGGUGGUGUCAGAAGAGGA